rnacentral:rRNA from 1 species
AACGAACGCUGGCGGCAGGCUUAACACAUGCAAGUCGAGCGCCCCGCAAGGGGAGCGGCAGACGGGUGAGUAACGCGUGGGAACGUACCCUUUGCUACGGAAUAGCUCCGGGAAACUGGAAUUAAUACCGUAUGUGCCCUACGGGGGAAAGAUUUAUCGGCAAAGGAUCGGCCCGCGUUGGAUUAGCUAGUUGGUGGGGUAAUGGCCUACCAAGGCGACGAUCCAUAGCUGGUCUGAGAGGAUGAUCAGCCACAUUGGGACUGAGACACGGCCCAAACUCCUACGGGAGGCAGCAGUGGGGAAUAUUGGACAAUGGGCGCAAGCCUGAUCCAGCCAUGCCGCGUGAGUGAUGAAGGCCUUAGGGUUGUAAAGCUCUUUCACCGGAGAAGAUAAUGACGGUAUCCGGAGAAGAAGCCCCGGCUAACUUCGUGCCAGCAGCCGCAGUAAAAC